UAAGGUCAGUUUUCUUUUCUUUUCUUUUCUUUUUGGGUUUUUUUUGUGGGUUUUCAGUUCGUUAAUCUAUGACUCUUUGUUCAGAUUUUUCGUUCGUGUAUGAUUAAAUGGGUAUUGGGUUUUGGUGGUUGAAAAUAUGUUUUUUUUCCUGCUUAUGCUUCUUGCUCAUUUUUCUUGGGAUUUUUUGUUUUGAGUUGCAAGGGUUAAGAGACCACUAAAAUCUUAGGUUAAUGGGUAUUGGGUUUUGGUGGUUGAAAAUAUGAUUUUUUCUGGUUAAGCUUCUUGCUCAUUUUUCUAGGAUUUUUGUUUUUCAGUUGCAAGGGUAAAGAGAAUAAUAAAAUCUUGGAAAUCGGUAUUGGCAUUUGUAUUAAUGCAUUUCCAUUUUUGUUGAUUUGCAGGAUAGGUGCAUUGACACCUAAAAAUAUUUGUGUGAACUUCAUAAAUUUUUCUGAGGCUCCAAACGUUGAAGGAUUGAUGGAGAUGAUGCCGCUUCAUUGUCUGAGGCCAUACCAGCCAGCAAACAAGCUCCAAAUUAGGGUUUGUAGGAUGUGGAUCACAUAAACCAUCGAAGAUGAUCCUCAGCCACAAAGUCUCGAUUGUGUGUUUGUCGAUAAAGAAGUGAGAAUUUUGCACCUUUUUCGUUAUUGUAAGAUGCUUAUGUUUUUAUAUAACCAAGUGUACAUACUGUGUUCUUGGUACAACAAAUUUUAUGGUCAAACAUUCUCUAAAGUUCAUGAACUAAUUGCUCUACGCAAUUCGCUGCCCAAUUAUACAUCACUUCUACAUGAUUAUGUUUGUGUGGUUAA